CCUACGGGAGGCUGCAGUAGGGAAUCUUCCACAAUGGGCGAAAGCCUGAUGGAGCAACGCCGCGUGGGUGAAGAAGGUCUUCGGAUCGUAAACCGCUUUUGCACGGGGAUAACACCCUCCACUUGUGGAGGUCUGCAGGUACCGUGCGAAUAAGGGCCGGCUAAUUCCGUGCCAGCAGCCGCGGUAAUACGGAAGGCCCGAGCGUUAUCCGGAUUCAUUGGGCUUAAAGGGAGCGUAGGCGGGCGUUCAAGUCAGCUGUAAAAUCGCGCGGCUCAACCGCGCCCCGCAGUUGAAACUGGACGCCUUGAGUUCACAACAGGCAGGCGGAAUUCGUGGUGUAGCGGUGAAAUGCAUAGAUAUCACGAGGAACCCCGAUUGCGAAGGCAGCCUGCCGGGGUGCGACUGACGCUGAGGCUCGAAGGUGCGGGUAUCAAACAGGAUUAGAUACCCCUGUAGUC
rnacentral:rRNA from 1 species